GAUGAACGCUGGCGGCGUGCCUAAUACAUGCAAGUCGAGCGAACGGACGAGAAUCUUGCUUCUCUGAUGUUAGCGGCGGACGGGUGAGUAACACGUGGAUAACCUACCUAUAAGACUGGGAUAACUUCGGGAAACCGUAGCUAAUACCGGAUAAUAUUUCGAACCGCAUGGUUCAAAAGUGAAAGACGGUCUUGCUGUCACUUAUAGAUGGAUCCGCGCUGCAUUAGCUAGUUGGUAAGGUAACGGCUUACCAAGGCAACGAUGCAUAGCCGACCUGAGAGGGUGAUCGGCCACACUGGAACUGAGACACGGUCCAGACUCCUACGGGAGGCAGCAGUAGGGAAUCUUCCGCAAUGGGCGAAAGCCUGACGGAGCAACGCCGCGUGAGUGAUGAAGGUCUUCGGAUCGUAAAACUCUGUUAUUAGGGAAGAACGUAUGUGUAAGUAACUGUGCACAUCUUGACGGUACCUAAUCAGAAAGCCACGGCUAACUACGUG
rnacentral:rRNA from 1 species